AUCGUCUAGUGUUAGGACAUUGCGUGUGGCCGCAAUAACCCAGGUUCGAAUCCUGGU
rnacentral:tRNA from 1 species